rnacentral:rRNA from 1 species
GGACUACCGGGGUUUCUAAUCCUGUUCGCUCCCCACGCUUUCGCUCCUCAGCGUCAGUACCGGCCCAGAGUGCUGCCUUCGCCAUCGGUGUUCCUCCCGAUAUCUGCGCAUUUCACCGCUACACCGGGAAUUCCACACUCCCCUACCGGACUCUAGCCAUGGCAGUAUCGAAUGGCGGCUCCAGGUUGAGCCUGGAGUUUUCACAUCCGACUUGCCAAGCCGCCUACGAGCUCUUUACGCCCAAUAAUUCCGGACAACGCUCGCCCCCUACGUAUUACCGCGGCUGCUGGCAC